rnacentral:lncRNA from 1 species
UUGGAAGGAACCUCAAGAGGUCAUUGAGUUCAACCCCCCCUCAGCAACAGCAGAGAGCUCCAGCUCAGAGCAGGCAGCUUUGGAACUGGGCCAUCAAAACCAUACCCUGAAGCUUUUGCUCCAUUCAGUCCCCCAAAACACGCUGGGCGUGGAGAAUCACAGAAUUGCAUGGCUGGAAGGGACCUCAAGAGAUUGAGUCUAACCCCCCUGCUAAAACAACUACUAUUGUGGCAAGAAAAGAGGGGAAUAAGAACUUCAUUCAAGUAAAGAAAACUCUUUCCUCUGAUUUGAUAUUUAUCUCUUGCAAGGUUCCAUCCAAAUCCUAGCUGGGAUUCUUCUGCUUCUACAGGAGGCAUGAGAGGCUUUGAGAUCUUCAUGCUGGACUAUGAUGACUCCAAAUGAAAAGGAUGAUACAUAGAGACAACGGUUCCUGGAGGACAGAAAGCUGAGGUGGCAAAUAAAAGACAAAAAGAGAAUGUGAAAAAGAAGAGAAUGAUUCCCAAAAAGAAUGGAAGUAAAGAAGUGUUAUUUGUGUGCAAGAGGUGUCAUAAGAGUACUGCUGAGGGCUCUAAACAAAGCUUUGUUUCUUAUACUUUUCAAAAUGUGGCAUCAUACAUCAAAGUACAAAGGCAGUUCCACUGAAAGCCUUACAGAUGCUCAGAGAAGAUCAAGAUCGGUGCCUUCUGAAGAGAACUCGAUUUUUCCUCCAAAGAAAUCUAAUUCUAGAGAUAAAAGAAUGAAAUUCACAGACUUUGUGUCCCAGAACCAACAAAAGAAAUAAUCCCAAACUCUGAACACAUGGAAGACAAAAGGAAAUAAAUCUUGUUGGUAACAUAAUACA